rnacentral:rRNA from 1 species
GACAGAGGUGCCGAGCGUUAGGCGGAAUCACUGGGCUUAAAGCGUGUGUAGGCGGAGUGCUAAGUACCUUGUGAAAUCCCUCGGCUUAACCGGGGAACUGCGUCUGAUACUGGAUGGCUUGAGUUUGGGAGAGGGACGCGGAAUUCCAGGUGUAGCGGUGAAAUGCGUAGAUAUCUGGAGGAACACCGGUGGCGAAGGCGGCGUCCUGGACCAACACUGACACUGAUGAGCGAAAACCAGGGGAGCAAACGGG